rnacentral:rRNA from 1 species
GACGAACGCUGGCGGCGUGCUUAACACAUGCAAGUCGAACGGAAAGGCCCUGCUUUUGUGGGGUGCUCGAGUGGCGAACGGGUGAGUAACACGUGAGUAACCUGCCCUUGACUUUGGGAUAACUUCAGGAAACUGGGGCUAAUACCGGAUAGGAGCUCCUGCUGCAUGGUGGGGGUUGGAAAGUUUCGGCGGUUGGGGAUGGACUCGCGGCUUAUCAGCUUGUUGGUGGGGUAGUGGCUUACCAAGGCUUUGACGGGUAGCCGGCCUGAGAGGGUGACCGGCCACAUUGUGACUGAGAGACGGCCCAGACUCCUACGGGAGGCAGCAGUGGCGAAUAUUGCACAAUGGGAGGAAGCCUGAUGCAGCAACGCCGCGUGCGUGAUGACGGCCUUCGGGUUGUAAACCGCUUUCGCCUGUGACGAAGCGUUAGUGACGGUAAUGAGUAAAGAAGCACCGGCUAACUACGUG